GUGCUCACUUUGGCAGCACAUAUACUAAAAUUGGAACCAUAUAGAGAAGAUUAGCAUGGCCCAUGAGCAAGAAUGACAUGCAAAUUUGUGAAGCAUUCCGUAUUUUU
rnacentral:snRNA from 1 species